AACGCGAAGAACCUUACCUGGGCUUGAACCGCACAGGACCAGCUUUAGAAAUAGAGCCUUCCCGCAAGGGACCUGUGUAGAGGUGCUGCAUGGCUGUCGUCAGCUCGUGCCGUGAGGUGUUGGGUUAAGUCCCGCAACGAGCGCAACCCUCAUCCCUAGUUGCCACCGGGUAAUGCCGAGCACUCUAGUGAAACCGCCCCGGAUAACGGGGAGGAAGGUGGGGAUGACGUCAAGUCCUCAUGGCCUUUAUGUCCAGGGCUACACACGUGCUACAAUGGUCGGUACAAACCGUCGCAAAGCCGCAAGGUGGAGCUAAUCGGAAAAAGCCGGCCUCAGUUCGGAUUGGAGUCUGCAACUCGACUCCAUGAAGCUGGAAUCGCUAGUAAUCGCAGAUCAGAACGCUGCGGUGAAUACGUUCCCGGGCCUUGUACACACCGCAUAC
rnacentral:rRNA from 1 species